rnacentral:lncRNA from 1 species
ACAGGCAGGUAUUUUCAGAUACUUAAAGAUUGUAUUGAUAAUGUUUGACUAUAGUGUCUUUCAAAGAUACAUUCCACUUCCAAAUGCUAUAGGUAAAGGCAGGCUCAAAGAAUCGCAUUGAGUGUUUGUGUGAGUUUCACCAGUGAAGUGUUUUACGCAGCGGUGGUUUCAUGAUAUUAAGCGGAGUUUUAUGUCAUCAAAUUGUCGUAGGUAAAGGCAGAAUCCUAUCAUCACAAUGAGUCGUUUGCGAGGUUUACAUUUGAAGGGCUUCAUGCUGCUAAAUACGUUUUGCACUUAGAGUCGUUUAU